UAGUUGCAGGAACCUGGAGGCCAUCCCAGCCUGCCAGUCUGUCAAAGUACUAACACACACAUGAUAUGUUCACAUACACAUGUUUUGGCUUAAAGAUACCUGUUAUGGUGGCACAAACACAGCUGGAAAUGUCCCCAGACCUCUUAAAAAUGUCCAAUGUAUCAUUUGCAUAUAAAAAUGUCAAAAAUCCAGCACACACACUUGAACUGUGGACAACCGUUUUGUAGCUUUGUCGCCUGUAACUCCACAACCUCCCCCUUUCUAUGUGACAUUCAGCGAUGUAAACAUUAUACAGCACAUUUUGAAUUAAUGUCAGUAUAUCUGUUGUCUGCAGGUGUCUGGGCUGAGGGAAUUACCUAAUUAAGUCAUGUCAUCCUUUACUUGGCCGUUCCUCAGGAAUAAAUGACAUCAUGAAGGAUUUGUCCCUGUCAUUGCUGAGUCGGGGGUGUGGUCGAUUUGUCUCGACAGGGAGAUAUGACGGACGGCUGGACGUUUUCCUCACACCUCAGGACUUGGUUACUUUAGAAACCAGUUGUCACUCAUGGACCAGAGACAGGAAGCAGCGAGUUGUCAGGCGGUACACUCGCCGAGUGGAACCGGAUCUCGGCACAGUCAAGGAACUAACAGCAGCCAUUUUGAGCUACAGCAAAAAUGAGGUAGUUGGAAUAGACCAGGAAUAAUAACAGUUGUCUAUGUUUGUAUGUAUGUUGCGCAUAGACUCUAUAAUGUUUACCCAGACAGCGUUCAUCAUCAAGAGAACAUUUCAUGUAUGUACUUAAUUGCUGUUGGUAAUGUGCAUUAAGUUAUUUAAGUACUGAGCAGUCUAGGAAGGUAAUGCUCAAUUAAACAAUACUUAUUUUAGUAUUGAAUUCAAUUAUUUCAUGCUGUAUAAUGUGGAAAAGGUUUCUAACAGUGACAAAAACCUACGGAGAAUUAUUACCUAAAAAAUCCAGAGUUUUUUAGCCUGUAUUAGCUCAUUGUUUUGGUUUCAUGGCGCAUUCAUUCUUUGGAUCGGCCUGAGCACACAACAUAACCCUGGUCCCAGAGGAUGCAGGCGGCAAACAAGCAUGACUUUUUCCUCUUAUACGGUCCAGUCACAGCUAGAUAACAUUUAAUUAUUUUCAACUUGUCAGCCUCCAGUAAUUUUUUGCUAGCAGUACAUUACCU
rnacentral:lncRNA from 1 species